UGGGGAAUUUUGGACAAUGGGCGAAAGCCUGAUCCAGCAAUGCCGCGUGUGUGAAGAAGGCCUUCGGGUUGUAAAGCACUUUUGUCCGGAAAGAAAUCCUUGGCUCUAAUACAGUCGGGGGAUGACGGUACCGGAAGAAUAAGCACCGGCUAACUACGUGCCAGCAGCCGCGGUAAUACGUAGGGUGCAAGCGUUAAUCGGAAUUACUGGGCGUAAAGCGUGCGCAGGCGGUUUGCUAAGACCGAUGUGAAAUCCCCGGGCUCAACCUGGGAACUGCAUUGGUGACUGGCAGGCUAGAGUAUGGCAGAGGGGGGUAGAAUUCCACGUGUAGCAGUGAAAUGCGUAGAGAUGUGGAGGAAUACCGAUGGCGAAGGCAGCCCCCUGGGCCAAUACUGACGCUCAUGCACGAAAGCGUGGGGAGCAAACAAGAUUAGAUACCCUGGUAGUCCACGCCCUAAACGAUGUCAACUAGUUGUUGGGGGAUUCAUUUCCUUAGUAACGUAGCUAACGCGUGAAGUUGACCGCCUGGGGAGUACGGUCGCAAGAUUAAAACUCAAUGAAUUGACGGGGUCAUAGCUGUUUCCU
rnacentral:rRNA from 1 species